UUCUUUUCUCUUUUUAUUUCCCAUGUCCAGCGAAAUGCCUCAGCAGAGAAAGAGAAUUUUCAUGUGGCAUUGAGAAAGGAGGAAAAUCAGAGCUUCCAGGACUGCGAUUCUCAAGAUGUUGGCAAGACAUGUUUGGGGAAUCGCAAUAAUUCAACAUCUCAUUUGAAGACAGCAGAAUCAGAGACAAGCUUUCAGAAGUCACACAGCCCUCCAUGGACUAAACUCGAAGAUAAAAACUCACCUGAAAGGAAUGAGAAAAAAAUCGAGGAGCCUAUUCGUACAAAAGGAAAAAAACUCUAAGCACUACUAAUUUCCAUUUAAAAUGCCCAUGACUUGCUUCCAUCCUCAUAUUGUUUUUAGUCCAGAGGCAUGAAAUGUACCAGGCUUCUAAAGCAUGCAUUUUUCACUAUUUUAUGAAUGUUUGUAAAUUAGUCUAGAAUAGACCAAUUAGUACCUUCCAGCAAUAAUCCAAAAUGGAUGUUUAAAGAAAUGCUUUGUAAUACAGUCUGGUUUUCGAACUCUUGUUCUACUUGAUCAGUAAUUGCACACUAUAAAUUAGUUUCUUUGAAAACUGUCAUUCUCAAGUAUUUUCACAGUCUGUUCUGUUUCAUGUAUUUUUAUUGCAGGUUAGGUUUUAAAUCAAGUUCAGAAUUAAUAUGGGCAAAAAUAUAUCUGUAUAAAUAUAGUUAAGUACAGUAUAACUCAUAAGAGAACCGUAAAAACGGAAUAGUGGAGGUCCAUGUAUACUUACCUUUCAGUAAUACCAUUUCAAAUCUACGUACUUAAACAAUAAA
rnacentral:lncRNA from 1 species